UGGGGAAUUUUGGACAAUGGGGGCAACCCUGAUCCAGCAAUGCCGCGUGUGUGAAGAAGGCCUUCGGGUUGUAAAGCACUUUUGUCCGGGAAGAAAUCGCACCUGAUAAUACCGGGUGUGGAUGACGGUACCGGAAGAAUAAGGACCGGCUAACUACGUGCCAGCAGCCGCGGUAAUACGUAGGGUCCAAGCGUUAAUCGGAAUUACUGGGCGUAAAGCGUGCGCAGGCGGUUGUGCAAGACCGAUGUGAAAUCCCCGGGCUUAACCUGGGAAUUGCAUUGGUGACUGCACGGCUAGAGUGUGUCAGAGGGGGGUAGAAUUCCACGUGUAGCAGUGAAAUGCGUAGAGAUGUGGAGGAAUACCGAUGGCGAAGGCAGCCCCCUGGGAUAACACUGAAGCACAUGCACGAAAGCGUGGGGAGCAAACAGG
rnacentral:rRNA from 1 species